CACAUCUUGUUUCUGAUCAGACUCCACAAAGACACUCAGCCUCACAUCUACAAGAGAGUAGAGCUAGAAGAGAAGCAGACCAGUCAAAGGGAAAGAAAAUACCUCAGAGAUAAGAGCUUCAGUGGCAGAAUUCAGAAGCCGUAAAAGUAGCAAAAGGAAUGACCGUUGGAUGUGAAGUCUUCCUAAUAAUGGAAGAAGUGCCUUCUGUCCUCCUCCCAAAAGCCACUGGCCACUGAAGUGCUUCCGGGCCAGAUGAAACGUGCUACUGCAGCAAGAUUUGAGCACCUAGCCCAUCGAAUCUGGAGCUACCAAUCCUGAGGCCAUUGCUGUCACCCUUGCAAACUUCUGGGUAGAGGAAAAUACACUGGACUCUUCAACCCAUG
rnacentral:lncRNA from 1 species